AUGAACGCUAGCUACAGGCUUAACACAUGCAAGUCGAGGGGCAGCAUGAACUUAGCUUGCUAAGUUUGAUGGCGACCGGCGCACGGGUGAGUAACACGUAUCCAACCUGCCGAUGACUCGGGGAUAGCCUUUCGAAAGAAAGAUUAAUACCCGAUGGCAUAGUUCUUCCGCAUGGUAGAACUAUUAAAGAAUUUCGGUCAUCGAUGGGGAUGCGUUCCAUUAGGUUGUUGGCGGGGUAACGGCCCACCAAGCCUUCGAUGGAUAGGGGUUCUGAGAGGAAGGUCCCCCACAUUGGAACUGAGACACGGUCCAAACUCCUACGGGAGGCAGCAGUGAGGAAUAUUGGUCAAUGGACGAGAGUCUGAACCAGCCAAGUAGCGUGAAGGAUGACUGCCCUAUGGGUUGUAAACUUCUUUUAUACGGGAAUAAAGUGAGGCACGUGUGCCUUUUUGUAUGUACCGUAUGAAUAAGGAUCGGCUAACUCCGUGCCAGCAGCCGCGGUAAUACGGAGGAUCCGAGCGUUAUCCGGAUUUAUUGGGUUUAAAGGGAGCGUAGGCGGACGCUUAAGUCAGUUGUGAAAGUUUGCGGCUCAACCGUAAAAUUGCAGUUGAUACUGGGUGUCUUGAGUACAGUAGAGGCAGGCGGAAUUCGUGGUGUAGCGGUGAAAUGCUUAGAUAUCACGAAGAACUCCGAUUGCGAAGGCAGCCUGCUGGACUGUAACUGACGCUGAUGCUCGAAAGUGUGGGUAUCAAACAGGAUUAGAUACCCUGGUAGUCCACACAGUAAACGAUGAAUACUCGCUGUUUGCGAUAUACAGUAAGCGGCCAAGCGAAAGCGUUAAGUAUUCCACCUGGGGAGUACGCCGGCAACGGUGAAACUCAAAGGAAUUGACGGGGGCCCGCACAAGCAGUGGAGUAUGUGGUUUAAUUCGACGCAACGCGAAGAACCUUACCAAGGCUUGACAUAUACAGGAAUAACUAAGAAAUUAGUUAGCUCUUCGGAGUCUGUAUACAGGUGGUGCAUGGUUGUCGUCAGCUCGUGCCGUGAGGUGUCGGCUUAAGUGCCAUAACGAGCGCAACCCUUAUCGAUAGUUACCAUCAGGUUAUGCUGGGGACUCUGUCGAGACUGCCGUCGUAAGAUGUGAGGAAGGUGGGGAUGACGUCAAAUCAGCACGGCCCUUACGUCCGGGGCUACACACGUGUUACAAUGGGGGGUACAGAAGGCAGCUACACGGCGACGUGAUGCUAAUCCCUAAAGCCUCUCUCAGUUCGGAUUGGAGUCUGCAACCCGACUCCAUGAAGCUGGAUUCGCUAGUAAUCGCGCAUCAGCCACGGCGCGGUGAAUACGUUCCCGGGCCUUGUACACACCGCCCGUCAAGCCAUGAAAGCCGGGGGUACCUGAAGUGCGUAACCGCAAGGAGCGCCCUAGGGUAAAACUGGUGAUUGGGGCU
rnacentral:rRNA from 1 species